rnacentral:misc_RNA from 1 species
AACGCACCUUGCGCCUUUUGGUAUUCCGAAAGGCAUGCCUGUUUGAGUGUCAUGAAAACAUCAAUCAUUCAUCUUGAUUGGAGAUGGACGCUGCCGUUGGCUCGUCUCAAAGUCGUUAGUGCCGGUCGACGUAAUAAGUUUCGUCAUGGCCGGUGCUUCACCCCAUCUUUCAUCUCUGACCUCAAAUCAGGCAGGACUACCCCGCUGAACUUAA